rnacentral:sRNA from 1 species
GUUACGGGGACGACCUGCGGGAGCACGCGGGCAGUGGCCGGACGCUGAAGCCCAGGAGAGCGAUGGAGACGUAUGCGGAGGCUGGGAAGGAGGGCAAGCCUUCCUGUGCAUCGGUGGAUCUGCAGGGAGACAGCUCCUUACAGGUGGAGAUUUCUGACGCAGUGAGUGAGCGGGACAAGGUGAAAUUCACUGUUCAAACAAAGAGCUGCCUCCCUCACUUCGCCCAGACCGAGUUCUCAGUCGUGCGGCAGCACGAGGAGUUCAUCUGGCUGCAUGAUGCCUAUGUGGAGAACGAGGAGUACGCCGGCCUCAUCGUGAGGAGGGGCUGGGCAGGGGCUGGGAGGGACAGGCAGAGCACUUGGGUGAGGACCAAAGGCUGUGAUGGCCGUCUUGGCAGUGAGAGGCCUCCCAGCUCCGUCCCUCCUUUGAGCAGAUCCCCCCAGCCCCUCCGAGGCCAGACUUUGAGGCUUCGAGGGAAAAGCUACAGAAAUUGGGCGAGGGGGACAGCUCUGUCACUCGGGAAGAGUUUGCCAAGAUGAAGCAGGAGCUGGAAGCGGAGUACCUGGCCAUCUUUAAGAAGACAGUUGCGAUGCACGAAGUCUUUCUGCAGCGCCUGGCGGCCCACCCCACCCUGCGUCGAGACCACAACUUCUUUGUGUUUUUGGAAUAUGGACAGGAUCUGAGUGUCCGGGGGAAGAACAGGAAGGAGCUCCUCGGAGGGUUUCUGAGGAAUAUUGUGAAGUCCGCGGAUGAAGCCCUCAUCACGGGCAUGUCAGGGCUCAAGGAGGUGGAUGACUUCUUUGAGCAUGAGAGGACCUUCCUGUUGGAGUAUCACACCCGUAUCCGAGAUGCCUGCCUGCGGGCCGACCGCGUCAUGCGCGCCCACAAGUGCCUGGCAGACGAUUAUAUCC